UACGUAGGUGGCAAGCGUUGUCCGGAUUUAUUGGGUUUAAAGGGUGCGUAGGCGGCUGUUUAAGUCAGUGGUGAAAGCCGAUCGCUUAACGAUCGAACUGCCAUUGAUACUGAAUAGCUUGAGUACAGAUGAGGUAGGCGGAAUUGACAGUGUAGCGGUGAAAUGCAUAGAUAUUGUCAAGAACACCGAUUGCGAAGGCAGCUUACUAAAGUGUCACUGACGCUGAGGCACGAAAGUGCGGGGAGCAAACAGG
rnacentral:rRNA from 1 species